rnacentral:rRNA from 1 species
GAUGAACGCUGGCGGCGUGCUUAACACAUGCAAGUCGAACGGUGAAGCAGGAGCUUGCUCUUGUGGAUCAGUGGCGAACGGGUGAGUAACACGUGAGCAACCUGCCCCUGACUCUGGGAUAAGCGCUGGAAACGGCGUCUAAUACUGGAUAUGUGAUGUGACCGCAUGGGCUGCAUCUGGAAAGAAUUUCGGUUGGGGAUGGGCUCGCGGCCUAUCAGCUUGUUGGUGAGGUAAUGGCUCACCAAGGCGUCGACGGGUAGCCGGCCUGAGAGGGUGACCGGCCACACUGGGACUGAGACACGGCCCAGACUCCUACGGGAGGCAGCAGUGGGGAAUAUUGCACAAUGGGCGGAAGCCUGAUGCAGCAACGCCGCGUGAGGGAUGACGGCCUUCGGGUUGUAAACCUCUUUUAGCAGGGAAAAAGCGAAAGUGACGGUACCUGCAGAAAAAGCACCGGCUAACUACGUGCCAGCCGCCGCAGUAA